rnacentral:lncRNA from 1 species
UCUCCUUCAUCGCUCAAUUGGAGAAGCCGUCUCUUCUCACCGAUUCGUCAGCUGAUGAUGGUGGUGUUUAGGGUUGGAGAAACGACGAUGGUGGUGAGCAGUGGCUGCUCCCAUGCCACAAUCAGGGGCCUAAAAGUCGUCUGCAGCAGAUGCCGCUGACAUGGAUCUAACGGUGCUAUAUGCAUUUGUCUACCUCCCGAAAGCCUUCAAGCAACUACCGUUUAAACAACUCCCAGAGUAUCAUAAUUGUGGUUUCUUUUUAAAUUAAGUUUUCCAACCCAUCAAGUUCACGGGUUCAGUAAUGAUGCAAGUUAUGUUAUCUCGGGUAGUGAUGAUAGUAUGAUACCAAUCUUCGGACUUUGGAUGGCUAAAGCAUCCGAGCAACUGGGUGUUACUCUACCACGAGUAUAUGGAGGCUGUGAAGAAUCGCUACAAGCACCUUCAUGAGGUCAAACGUAAAUUCAGGUACAUUUUUUGACUGGUGGUAAGCUUAACAAUGAGUUUUAUAUGGAUGCGCAAGGACAAGAACAAACCGCUUAGGUGGAAUACAUCGAGAGAAAACACAAUGACCAGAGCCAAAAAGGCAACAUCACUUAUAGCUUAUAGCUGACAUGAUUCAUGUGUCUUCCCAAUAGAAAUCAACCUGCAUUUUGAUUGAAGUUAGGGACCAACAAAAUAAUUGGUGAUCUGCUAUGGUUAAUUACUUUGCAGAGUCAUGAUGUGUUGUCAUAUGAAGCUAAGAGAAAAUUCAUAGCUGAUAUGGGUCGACUUUCAACAAUUCAAGAAUCGAGCACCGCGAUACGAAUCAAAUAUGAAGUUAUAUUAC